ACGGGUGAGUAACGCGUGGGAAUCUACCCAUCUCUACGGAAUAACGCAUGGAAACGUGUGCUAAUACCGUAUACGUCCUUCGGGAGAAAGAUUUAUCGGAGAUGGAUGAGCCCGCGUUGGAUUAGCUAGUUGGUGGGGUAAAGGCCGACCAAGGCGACGAUCCAUAGCUGGUCUGAGAGGAUGAUCAGCCACACUGGGACUGAGACACGGCCCAGACUCCUACGGGAGGCAGCAGUGGGGAAUAUUGGACAAUGGGCGCAAGCCUGAUCCAGCCAUGCCGCGUGAGUGAUGAAGGCCCUAGGGUUGUAAAGCUCUUUCACCGGUGAAGAUAAUGACGGUAACCGGAGAAGAAGCCCCGGCUAACUUCGUGCCAGCAGCCGCGGUAAUACGAAGGGGGCUAGCGCUGUUCGGAUUUACUGGGCGUAAAGCGCACGUAGGCGGACUAUUAAGUCAGGGGUGAAAUCCCGGGGCUCAACCCCGGAACUGCCUUUGAUACUGGUAGUCUUGAGUUCGAGAGAGGUGAGUGGAAUUCCGAGUGUAGAGGUGAAAUUCGUAGA
rnacentral:rRNA from 1 species